UUUGUAGGCGGCGCUGUUAGUCGGGUGUGAAAUCCCAGGGCUCAACCCUGGAACUGCGCCCGAUACUGCAGUGCUUGAGGGAGACAGAGGUAAGCGGAACUGAUGGUGGAGCGGUGAAAUGCGUUGAUAUCAUCAGGAACACCGGUGGCGAAAGCGGCUUACUGGGUCUCUUCUGACGCUGAGAAACGAAAGCUAGGGGGAGCGGAAGG
rnacentral:rRNA from 1 species